GACGAACCGUCCAAACGUUAUUCGGAAUCACUGGGCUUAAAGGGUGCGUAGGCGGCGACGCAAGUGGGGUGUGAAAUCCCUCAGCUCAACUGAGGAACUGCGCUCCAAACUGCGUUGCUAGAGGGAGAUAGAGGUGAGCGGAACUAAUGGUGGAGCGGUGAAAUGCGUUGAUAUCAUUAGGAACACCGGUGGCGAAAGCGGCUCACUGGGUCUCUUCUGACGCUGAGGCACGAAAGCUAGGGGAGCGAACGGG
rnacentral:misc_RNA from 1 species